rnacentral:lncRNA from 11 species
UGGAAUGAGAGUUUAGGGCUUCAAGGGAGCAGCCUCCAUGCCUUAUGCCUCCAUACCUCCAUGCCUCAUGCUCUUGUCUGCUUUGGGAGAUUGCUGUUCACUUUGCUCUUGACUGCUCUGAGCAGCUUUGGCAAAAUACACAGACACUCACCAUGCAAAUAAGAAUUAUUGAUCUGAAGGACACAAACAACUCACCUAAUGCAUCUGCUUCUAAGAAGUCCAUGCAAUGAAG